CCCUUAGAUGUUCUGGGCCGCACGCGCGCUACACUGACUGGUUCAUCGAGCUUACAACCUUGACUGAUAGGUCUGGGUAAUCUUUUGAAAGCCAGUCGUGCUGGGGAUAGACUGUUGUAAUUUUCAGUCUUCAACGAGGAAUUCCUAGUAAACGCGAGUCAUCAACUCGCAUUGAUUACGUCCCUGCCCUUUGUACACACCGCCCGUCGCUACUACCGAUUGAGUGAUCCGGUGAAUAAUUCGGACUGCAGCAGUGUUCAGUUCCUGAACGUUGCAGCGGAAAGUUUAGUGAACCUUAUCACUUAGAGGAAGGAGAAGUCGUAACA
rnacentral:rRNA from 1 species